rnacentral:rRNA from 1 species
AUUGAACGCUGGCGGCAUGCUUUACACAUGCAAGUCGAACGGUAACAGGCCUUCGGGUGCUGACGAGUGGCGAACGGGUGAGUAAUGCAUCGGAACGUGCCCAAUCGUGGGGGAUAACGUAGCGAAAGUUACGCUAAUACCGCAUAAGCCCUGAGGGGGAAAGCAGGGGAUCGCAAGGCCUUGCGCGAAUGGAGCGGCCGAUGUCAGAUUAGCUAGUUGGUGGGGUAAAGGCCUACCAAGGCGACGAUCUGUAGCGGGUCUGAGAGGAUGAUCCGCCACACUGGGACUGAGACACGGCCCAGACUCCUACGGGAGGCAGCAGUGGGGAAUUUUGGACAAUGGGCGCAAGCCUGAUCCAGCCAUGCCGCGUGCGGGACGAAGGCCUCGGUUGUAACCGC